rnacentral:rRNA from 1 species
UAGGGUAUCUUCGGCAAUGGACGAAAGUCAGACCGAGCAACGCCGCGUGAGUGAAGAAGGUUAUCGGAUCGUAAAACUCUGUUGUUAGAGAAGAACAAGGACGUUAGUAACUGAACGUCCCCUGACGGUAUCUAACCAGAAAGCCACGGCUAACUACGUGCCAGCAGCCGCGGUAAUACGUAGGUGGCAAGCGUUGUCCGGAUUUAUUGGGCGUAAAGCGAGCGCAGGCGGUUUCUUAAGUCUGGUGUGAAAGCCCCCGGCCCCACCGGGGAGGGUCAAUGGAAACUGGGAGACUCGAGUGCGGAAGAGGAGGGUGGAAGUCCCUGUGUGGCGGUGGGAUGCGUAGAUAUAUGGAGGAACACCAGUGGCGAAAGCGGCUCUCUCGUCUGUAACAGACGCUGAGGCUCGAAAGCGUGGGGAGCAAACAGG